GACGAACGCUGGCGGCGUGCUUAACACAUGCAAGUCGGACGGGAAUAUACAAUUCGAACCUAAGUAGUUUACUAUGAGGGCGAGAAAGUAUAUUUUAGUGGCGGACGGGUGAGUAACACGUGAGGACCUGUCCUGUACAGGGGGACAACAGCUGGAAACGGCUGCUAAUACCGCGUAAGCCGAGAGGUGAAAGGUGCUCUGCACCGGUACAGGAGGGACUCGCGUCCUAUCAGCUAGUAGGUGAGGUAACGGCUCACCUAGGCGAAGACGGGUAGCCGGCCUGAGAGGGCGCACGGCCACACUGGAACUGAGAGACGGUCCAGACUCCUACGGGAGGCAGCAGUGGGGAAUAUUGGGCAAUGGGCGAAAGCCUGACCCAGCGACGCCGCGUGGAUGAAGAAAUCCUUCGGGAUGUAAAGUUCUGUUGUGUGGGAAGAGCGGAAGACGGUACCACACGAGGAAGCCCCGGCAAACUACGUGCCAGCCGCCGCAGUAAAAC
rnacentral:rRNA from 1 species